GGGGUUGUAGUUAACAAUUAACAUUUAAUUUGCAAUUAAAAGAUAUUAAUUAUAAUUUAAUCCACCUCA
rnacentral:tRNA from 1 species